CACAGAGUAAAGGGCUAUAAUCACUACAGUGGUUCUUACAGCUUCAAGGAAGGAAUAGCGGAGAUACCUAGUCGGGGAAUCGGAGCUCUGCUUGACGCUGUCCCCCUGUGUUCAUGCCCUGCCUGUCCUGUAUCCAGAGGCCUUCCCUGCCUGUCCUGUAUCUAGAGGUCUGCCCUGCCUGUCCUGUAUCCAGAGGCCUUCCCUGACGGUCCUGUAUCCAGAGGCGUGCCCUGCGUGUCCUGUAUCCAGAGGCCUUCCCUGCCUGUCCUGUAUCUAGAGGUCUGCCCUGCCUGUCCUGUAUCUAGAGGUCUGCCCUGCCUGUCCUGUAUCCAGAGGUCUGCCCUGCCUGUUCUGUAUCCAGAGGUCUGCCCUGCGUGCCUGUAUCCUUCCCUGCCUGUCCUGUAUCCAGAGGUCUGCCCUGCGUGCCUGUAUCCUUCCCUGCCUGUCCUGUAUCCAGAGGCCUGCCCUGCCUGUCCUGUAUCCAGAGGCCUGCCCUGCCUGUCCUGUAUCCAGAGGCCUGCCCUGCCUGUCCUGUAUCCAGAGGCCUGCCCUGCCUGUCCUGUAUCCAGAGGCCUGCCCUGCCUGUCCUGUAUCCAGAGGUCUGCCCUGCCUAUCCUGUAUCCAGAGGCCUGCCCUGCCUAUCCUGUAUCCAGAGGCCUGCCCUGCCUGUCCUGUAUCCAGAGGCCU
rnacentral:lncRNA from 1 species